GACGAACGCUGGCGGCGUGCUUAACACAUGCAAGUCGAACGGACAGGCCCUGCUUUUGUGGGGUGCUCGAGUGGCGAACGGGUGAGUAACACGUGAGUAACCUGCCCUUGUCUUUGGGAUAACUUCUGGAAACUGGGGCUCAUACCGGAUAGGAGCUCCUGCUGCAUGGUGGGGGUUGGAAAAUUUCGGCGGUUGGGGCUGGUCUCGCGGCUUAUCAGCUUGUUGGUGGGGUAGUGGCUUACAAAGCCUUUGACGGGUAGCCGGCAUGGGAGGGUGACCGGCCACAUUGGGACUGAGGUACGGCGCAGAAGCCAACGUGACGCAGCAGGCGGAAAUAUUGCAGAAUGAGGGGAAGCCAGAUGCGGAAAUGCUGCGAUCGUGAUACUGUGUUAUGGGUGAAAAACCGCUUUCGCCGGAGACGUAGCGAGCGUGACGGUAAUGAGUAAAGAAGCACCGGCUAACUACGUG
rnacentral:rRNA from 1 species